UUAAGAGUUUGAUCCUAGCUCAGGAUGAACGCUGGCGGCGUGUCUAAGGCAUGCAAGUCGAACGACGUCUUUUGACUUCGGUCAAAGGAAACGAGUGGCAAACGGGAGAGUAACACAUUGGUAACCUACCUUCAAGACGGGGAUAGCUCGCCGAAAGGCGGAUUAAAACCCGAUAGUAAUGGGGGGACAUUAAGUCAUUCCCAUUUAAAUAAUUUAUUGCUUGAAGAGGGGCCUAUGGCCUAUCAGCUAGUUGGUGAGGUAAUAGCUCACCAAGGCAAUGACGGGUAGCGGGUGUGAGAGCACGACCCGCCUCACUGGGACUGAGAAACUGCCCAGACUCCUACGGGAGGCUGCAGUCAAGAAUCUUCCGCAAUGCGCGAAAGCGUGACGGAGCGACGCCGCGUGCAGGAUGAAGGCCUUCGGGUUGUAAACUGCUUUUCUGUCUGAAGAAUUCGUGACGGUAAGACAGGAAUAAGAGGUUGCUAACUCUGUGCCAGCAGCAGCGGUAAUACAGAGACCUCGAGCGUUAUCCGGAUUCAUUGGGCGUAAAGCGUCCGUAGGCGGUUGGACAAGUCAAUGGUUAAAUCCCGAGGCUCAACUUCGGGGCUGUCAUUGAAACUGUUCAACUAGAGGUCGGGAAAGGCAAGCGGAACUACCGGUGUAGUCGUAAUAAGCGUUGAUAUCGGUAGGAACACCAAAGGCGAAGGCAGCUUGCUGGAACGUACCUGACGCUCAGGGACGAAAGCGUGGGGAGCGAAUAGGAUUAGAUACCCUAGUAGUCCACGCCCUAAACAUUGUGCACUAGGUAUUGGCAGUAUCGACCCUGCCAGUGCCGUUGAAAAAAGCUAACGCGUUAAGUGCACCGCCUGGGGAGUACGGCCGCAAG
rnacentral:rRNA from 1 species